CUGCAGUCAAAGCAAAGAUGGGACGCGGCGAAAGUCCUGUGACGGAGUCAGAGGAAGACCUUAAAAUGUUUAAAACUAAAGGAGCUUCGGUGUCUUUACCGAAACACUCCUACUGGUUUGACUUCUGGCUGUUCGUGCUCUUUGACAUCGUGUUUUUCCUCGUCAUGUACUUCAUAGUCCCAUAAAAAGUUAGUCCCCUGGACUCUGGAGCCUGAGCUGAGCUGUGUUGGUCCCGCCCUGCUGUCAGGAAUGAUAACCAAGUCUUUCACUGAAUUAACGCUGCGUUGUUUGAUAUACCAUCUCAAGCUCCCACGACAUGGACCAUGGAACUGCAAGUUUUAUGUACAUGGCAUACUGCUUUGAUAUCAGAGAUUUGAACCACAGAACUCCGUCCUGCUGUGACCUGUUGCUAGUUGCUGAAGACUGUCUUUCUUCAUGGUUGGAUUAAUUUUGUUGCCAUGCGGAAGAGAAAGAAAAUCAACUAUUUUUAUCAUUGAAAAGUGGCAAUGGCACCAUUAGACAUGUAAAAUGUACCUGUAAUAUCACUAAAGUGCUAUUAAGAGUAUUAUCCAUAUAAAUGUUACCUAGUAGAGAAGGCCUUUUUUUGAUGCAGUUGUUACUGUUAACAGAAUUAAUGGUGACAUUAAGUAAUUAUACCACAUUUUAGUUUCAUGUUCAAAUUGUCUAAUCAACAACUAUGUCCUGGAAAGAAAAGACCAAUCUCA